UACGAAGGGUGCAAGCGUUAAUCGGAAUUACUGGGCGUAAAGAGCUCGUAGGCGGUGUGUCGCGUCGGCCGUGAAAACCUGCAGCUUAACUGUGGGCUUGCGGUCGAUACGGGCAUCACUGGAGUUCGGCAGGGGAGACUGGAAUUCCUGGUGUAGCGGUGAAAUGCGCAGAUAUCAGGAGGAACACCGGUGGCGAAGGCGGGUCUCUGGGCCGAUACUGACGCUGAGGAGCGAAAGCGUGGGGAGCGAACAGG
rnacentral:rRNA from 1 species